UCGAGGGGUUUCUUUUAAAGUAUCUCCCUCUUGGCGCGUUCUGUCAGCCUUGUGCAUAGUAAGGAAUGUAUGCGCGAUUUGGACAAUUUCGGGCAAUGUGACCAGGUGUUCCACAGUGAAAACAUGUCUUUUUCUUCACUGUGAAGUUGUUUCUUCCUGCCCCUGGUGGCGUGUCCUUUCCUUGUCUCUUAUUGUUCCCAGAAUUACUCUAUUGCGUUGGAAUUGGAGGCUUGUAUUUCUCAACGGCAGGUUUGUUAGGAGUAGCAGAAUUUGAAGCAACAGAUUCUGAGUUCAAGGAGUCAUUGGUUUGUUUAGUAGUGUUCUUCUUGUUCUCAUCUACUACUUUACCUGCACAUGAAGUAGCAACAUUAGUAUCUUCAGAAUUACUCUAUUGCGUUGGAAUUGGAGGCUUGUAUUUCUCAACGGCAGGUUUGUUAGGAGUAGCAGAAUUUGAAGCAACAGAUUCUGAGUUCAAGGAGUCAUUGGUUUGUUUAGUAGUGUUCUUCUUGUUCUCAUCUACUACUUUACCUGCACAUGAAGUAGCAACAUUAGUAUCUUCAAC
rnacentral:lncRNA from 1 species